rnacentral:rRNA from 1 species
AUUGAACGCUGGCGGCAUGCUUUACACAUGCAAGUCGAACGGCAGCGCGGGCUUCGGCCUGGCGGCGAGUGGCGAACGGGUGAGUAAUACAUCGGAACGUGCCCAGUAGUGGGGGAUAGCCCGGCGAAAGCCGGAUUAAUACCGCAUACGACCUGAGGGUGAAAGCGGGGGAUCUUCGGACCUCGCGCUAUUGGAGCGGCCGAUGGCAGAUUAGCUAGUUGGUGGGGUAAAGGCCUACCAAGGCGACGAUCUGUAGCUGGUCUGAGAGGACGACCAGCCACACUGGGACUGAGACACGGCCCAGACUCCUACGGGAGGCAGCAGUGGGGAAUUUUGGACAAUGGGCGAAAGCCUGAUCCAGCAAUGCCGCGUGUGUGAUGAAGGCCUUCGGGUUGUAAAGCACUUUUGGCGGGAACGAAAAGGACUGUGCCAAUACCGCGGUUCGAUGACGGUACCCGCAGAAUAAGCACCGGCUAACUACGUG